UACGGGGGGUGCGAGCGUUGUCCGGAUUUACUGGGCGUAAAGAGCGCGCAGGCGGUCGUACAAGUCGCGUGUGAAAGCCCCCGGCUCAACUGGGGAGGGUCACGCGAUACUGUUCGACUCGAAGGCAGGAGAGGGAAGUGGAAUUCCCGGUGUAGUGGUGAAAUGCGUAGAUAUCGGGAGGAACACCAGUGGCGAAGGCGACUUCCUGGCCUGUUCUUGACGCUGAGGCGCGAAAGCUAGGGUAGCAAACGGG
rnacentral:rRNA from 1 species